UGGGGAAUAUUGGACAAUGGGCGAAAGCCUGACCCAGCCAUGCCGCGUGUGUGAAGAAGGUCUUCGGAUUGUAAAGCACUUUAAGUUGGGAGGAAGGGCAGUAAGCGAAUACCUUGCUGUUUUGACGUUACCGACAGAAUAAGCACCGGCUAACUCUGUGCCAGCAGACCCGGCAAUACAGAGGGUGAAAGCGCUAAUUGGAAUUACUGGGCGUAAAGCGCGCGUAGGUGGUUCGUUAAGUUGAAUGUGAAAGCCCCGGGCUGAACCUGGGAAAUGCAUCCAAAACUGGCUAGCUAGAGUAGGGCAGAGGGUGGUGGAAUUGCCUGUGUAGGGGUGAAAUGCGUAGAUAUAGGAAAGAACAGCAGUGGCGAAGGCGACCACCUGGGCUCAUACAGACACUGAGGUGCGAAAGCGUGGGGAGCAAACAGG
rnacentral:rRNA from 1 species